rnacentral:rRNA from 1 species
ACACUCCUACGGGAGGCAGCAGUGGGGAAUAUUGGACAAUGGGCGCAAGCCUGAUCCAGCCAUGCCGCGUGAGUGAUGAAGGCCCUAGGGUUGUAAAGCUCUUUCACCGGUGAAGAUAAUGACGGUAACCGGAGACGAAGCCCCGGCUAACUUCGUGCCAGCAGCCGCGGUAAUACGAAGGGGGCUAGCGUUGUUCGGAUUUACUGGGCGUAAAGCGCACGUAGGCGGACUAUUAAGUCAGGGGUGAAAUCCCGGGGCUCAACCCCGGAACUGCCUUUGAUACUGGUAGUCUUGAGUUCGAGAGAGGUGAGUGGAAUUCCGAGUGUAGAGGUGAAAUUCGUAGAUAUUCGGAGGAACACCAGUGGCGAAGGCGGCUCACUGGCUCGAUACUGACGCUGAGGUGCGAAAGCGUGGGGAGCAAACAGGAUUAGAAACCCGGGUAGUCCCAUG